UAGGGAAUCUUCCGCAAUGGACGCAAGUCUGACGGAGCAACGCCGCGUGAGUGAAGAAGGAUUUCGGUUCGUAAAACUCUGUUGUUAGAGAAGAACAGCGCAUAGAGUAACUGAUAUGCGUGUGACGGUAUCUAACCAGAAAGCCACGGCUAACUACGUGCCAGCAGCCGCGGUAAUACGUAGGUGGCAAGCGUUGUCCGGAUUUAUUGGGCGUAAAGCGAGCGCAGGCGGUCAAUUAAGUCUGAUGUGAAAGCCCCCGGCUCAACCGGGGAGGGUCAUUGGAAACUGGUUGACUGGAGUGCAGAAGAGGAGAGUGGAAUUCCAUGUGUAGCGGUGAAAUGCGUAGAUAUCGGGAAGAACACCAAUGGCGAAGGCGACUCUCUGGUCUGUAACUGACGCUGAGGUUCGAAAGCGUGGGUAGCAAACAGG
rnacentral:rRNA from 1 species